rnacentral:rRNA from 1 species
CGGAGGGUGCGAGCGUUGUCCGGAAUCACUGGGCGUAAAGGGCGCGUAGGUGGCCCGUCAAGCGCGCGGUGAAAGCCCGGGGCUCAACCCCGGGUCGGCCGUGCGGACUGGCGGGCUCGAGCACUGUAGGGCGGUGGAAUUCCGGGUGUAGCGGUGGAAUGCGUAGAGAUCCGGAAGAACACCGGUGGCGAAGGCGGCCCGCUGGGCAGGAAGACGGGGCAACCCGUCGGCUGACACUGAGGCGCGACAGCGUGGGGAGCAAACAGGAUUAGAUACCCUGGUAGUCCACGCCGUAAACGAUGGGCACUAGGUGCCUGGGGGAGCGACCCCCCGGGCGCCGGCGCUAACGCAUUAAGUGCCCCGCCUGGGGAGUACGGCCGCAAGGCUG